UUCUUUCAUUCUUUUUUUUGUUUCCUUUCAUUCUUUUCUUCUUUCAUCUUCUUUCGUUUGUGUUUUUUCACUUUGAAUUCGUCUCUUUUCUUUGUUUUUUCUCAAGUUGUAAAUUUGUUUUUCUCAAGUUAUGGAUUUUAAGGUGAUUAACUCUCCAUCCCCGUGUAUGGAUAUAAUUAUGGAUAUGUUGGAUUCUCAUAUUUAUUUCUCCGGUAUGCUUCAUUAUUUUUUAUACCUUUAUGUUUUUAGGUACUAAUUCUUCAAAAAUUAAUAUCAUCCCGUUUUAUUUUGUACUCUAUAGGUUGCCUAUCACUUUUUCUCGUACCUAUAUUAUUUGUUGGGUAUAAGUGUUUUAAAAAUCUGUACCACCACACUAUAUAUAACUUAGUACUAGAGUACAUUCACAAGUAUAAAACUAGAUAAAAAAAUAGUAUAUCGGUAGUAGAGCACAUUCACAGGUACUAAUCUGUGAUUAAUCAGGAAUUUGAGACAAAAACCAGUAACUACAAACUACACAUGGUACGAACACAACAAAAUCAAUAACAUAACCUCCCGAUAGUACAGACACAAAAUAAAAAUCACACGAGUACCUACAAACUUCAUGAAUCGUUCUUCUUCUUCCCUUCUUCCCGAUCGACUUCUUCUUCUUCCAAAUCGACUUCUUCUUCCCAUCUUCCAGAUCGGCUGCCUUCCUAUGCGGCAGAGGCGGUGAACUCUUUCUUCGUCGGAGCCACUUGGAUAUGGUACAACGAGAGGGUUUUUGUCGGAUUCUCCAUCAAAAUCAGUUCUUCCCUUCUUCCAUAUUACUUGCCUUCCUUCCUAUGCGGCGGUGGCGGUGAACUCUUUCUUCAUUGGAGCCGCUUGGAUCUGGUACAACGAGAGCAUUUUCGUCAGAGUCUCCAUCAAAAUCAGGCGUCUCGGCCAUUGAUUCGGGUCCCGAACGACGUCGGACAGAUGGAUCCUGCUCCUAUUUCCGUUCCACUCAUCGGAUAAUGAUCGGAAUUGAGUCGAACAUCGAAAGGAUGAUGCGAAUGAUGGGCGGCGGUUUUCAGAGAAAAUGAGGAAGUCGUUUUGGGAAUUUAUAAAACAUGGGAAC
rnacentral:lncRNA from 1 species